UACCAGCACCCCGAGUGGUCGGGACGAUUAUUGGGUCUAAAGCAUCCGUAGCCGGUCCUACAAGUCUUCCGUUAAAUCCACCUGCUUAACAGAUGGGCUGCGGAAGAUACUAUAGGGCUAGGAGGCGGGAGAGGCAAGCGGUACUCAGUGGGUAGGGGUAAAAUCCUCUGAUCCAUUGAAGACCACCAGUGGCGAAGGCGGCUUGCCAGAACGCGCUCGACGGUGAGGGAUGAAAGCUGGGGGAGCAAACCGG
rnacentral:rRNA from 1 species